rnacentral:rRNA from 1 species
GAUGAACGCUGGCGGCGUGCCUAAUACAUGCAAGUCGAGCGAACAGAUGAGGAGCUUGCUCCUCUGACGUUAGCGGCGGACGGGUGAGUAACACGUGGAUAACCUACCUAUAAGACUGGGAUAACUUCGGGAAACCGGAGCUAAUACCGGAUAAUAUAUUGAACCGCAUGGUUCAAUAGUGAAAGACGGUUUUGCUGUCACUUAUAGAUGGAUCCGCGCCGCAUUAGCUAGUUGGUAAGGUAACGGCUUACCAAGGCGACGAUGCGUAGCCGACCUGAGAGGGUGAUCGGCCACACUGGAACUGAGACACGGUCCAGACUCCUACGGGAGGCAGCAGUAGGGAAUCUUCCGCAACGGGCGAAAGCCUGACGGAGCAACGCCGCGUGAGUGAUGAAGGUCUUCGGAUCGUAAAACUCUGUUAUUAGGGAAGAACAAAUGUGUAAGUAACUAUGCACGUCUUGACGGUACCUAAUCAGAAAGCCACGGCUAACUACGUG